GAUGAACGCUGACAGCAUGCUUAACACAUGCAAGUCUACUUGAACUUCGGUUUGGGUGGCGGACGGGUGAGUAACGCGUAAAGAACUUGCCUCACAGAUAGGGACAACAUUUGGAAACGAAUGCUAAUACCUGAUAUUAUGAUUUUAGGGCAUCCUAGAAUUAUGAAAGCUAUAUGCACUGUGAGAGAGCUUUGCGUCCCAUUAGCUAGUUGGAGAGGUAACGGCUCACCAAGGCGAUGAUGGGUAGCCGGCCUGAGAGGGUGAUCGGCCACAAGGGGACUGAGACACGGCCCUUACUCCUACGGGAGGCAGCAGUGGGGAAUAUGGGACAAUGGACCAAGAGUCUGAUCCAGCAAUUCUGUGUGCACGAUGAAGUUUUUCGGAAUGUAAAGUGCUUUCAGUUGGGAAGAAAAAAAUGACGGUACCAACAGAAGAAGUGACGGCUAAAUACGUG
rnacentral:rRNA from 1 species